rnacentral:sRNA from 20 species
AUUCAAUUGUGUUAAUGACACACACAAAUCGACACAUACGCCGGGGUGCUCUUAUGUAAAGGUUUAAUCUUUACAGCUGAUGAGUCGGUCGUAUGGGAUUUGUGGAGGAAAUAAC